rnacentral:tRNA from 1 species
GGGGAUAUGGCGAAAUUGGUAGACGCUACGGACUUAAAAAAUCCGUCGACUUUAGAAAUCAUGAGGGUUCAAGUCCCUCUAUCCCCAGUCGGGAUAGCUCAGC